CAAAACUCGUUAGACAUUUACAUAAAACCAUAAAAUACUACAUUUAUAGCUUAUAGCAAGAAAGCAAGAGCAAGUACAUAUAUGAUGAGUAUUGAUAACAUAAUAUUUAAAUAGACAGCUAAGCAAAUUGAGAAGUAGUGUUCAGGUAUAAAAAAAUGCUGUUUAGUAAGUACAUAAUCUGAUGAAUUCAUUAAAAAGUUUACUCAUUAACAAAUUAAAAUAUCUUAAAAUAGCCAUGCAAGUUAUUCUCCCGUACAAAGUCUAAUAAAUAAAUAAAAAAUACAACCAAUAAACCGAAAAACCGAGAAAGCAACGACGCUCCAAAGUCUAUUAUAGUUAGUCAACUGAUAAAACAGUCUUGAAAUCAACGUACAGAAACGACAAAUAAGCGCUUGUUUCAUUGUUUGAAAUAGAGAUCCCGUUAAUUUUUGGUAUACUUAGAACAAUUCCUACCAAAAAUAGGUUUGAGAGAAUCCAGGUAAGCACAACAUACGUUCGAAAAUUUUUGUAAAAAUCCUCUUGCUCUCCGUGAUUAAUGAUGGGACUGUUGAAUUCUAAUGAAGGAGAUGCCAGCAGUUUAACAGCAUCCUCAUACUUUGCAUCAAUGUCUGAUUGAUUUGUAGGAAUUGCUAUUUCUACAUCAGCUCCUUUUUGAAGGAGUCUUGCAACACCUAGAUCAUUGUUGGUAAAGUGAUCUCCUUUGGUACCCCAAGAAACGUCAUGUGUGUUGCAAAACGCAUAAACAUUUAAUACAUUCGUAUACAUUAUUGAAAGAAAAAUGUAUUGCACAAACGAAGUGAACAUAUGCCAUGGAUCAAAAGAGAUAAUGGAUACCACAAGAUACAUUCCAUAGGUGGAAGAGAGUGAUAUCACAAUAUUUAUAAAGACAUUACUAUUCAACAAUGCAGAAGUAUAAGAUGAAGAGGUGCUGCUUGCGUUAUGUAUAGCAUCACUUAUAGCACGGUAAGCAAUCCAACCGGAGCAAAACAAAAGAUAUCCCAUUAAUAUAGAGUACAUUAUUACCAUGGAUAAAUAAAAGUUCGGCGAGCCAUGAGGUCGAUUUCCUAAAGCUAAUACAAAGCAUGUCA